CAUGGCCUUUUGUUAUUUAUUUAAGGUCUGACCUGCCCAAUGAUAAUUUAUUUAAUGGCCGCGGUAUUUUGACCGUGCAAAGGUAGCAUAAUCAUUAGUUUUUUAAUUGAAAGCUGGAAUGAAAGGUUGAAUGAGAAAAUAACUGUCUUUAUUAUAUUUAAUUAGAAUUUUAUUUUUAAGUCAAAAAGCUUAAAUUUAAUUUAAAGACGAGAAGACCCUUUAGAGUUUUAUAAAAUAUAGAUUUUUGAUUUUUUAGAAUUAAUUAUAAUAAAAUUUAUUUUUAUUUGAUUGGGGUGAUUGAAAAAUUUGAUAAACUUUUUUUUUUAUUUAACAUUGAUUUAUGACUAUUUGAUCCUUAAAUUAAGAUUAUAAGAUUAAAUUACCUAAGGGAUAACAGCGUUAUUUUUUUUAAGAGUUCUUAUCGAAAAAAAAGAUUGCGACCUCGAUGUUGGAUUAAAAUUAAAUUAUGGUGUAGAGGCUAUAAC
rnacentral:rRNA from 1 species